rnacentral:rRNA from 1 species
CCUACGGGGGGCAGCAGUGGGGAAUAUUGGACAAUGGGGGGAACCCUGAUCCAGCCAUGCCGCGUGUGUGAAGAAGGCCCUCGGGUUGUAAAGCACUUUCAGUGAGGAAGAACGCCUGGUGGUUAAUACCCAUCAGGAAAGACAUCACUCACAGAAGAAGCACCGGCUAACUCCGUGCCAGCAGCCGCGGUAAUACGGAGGGUGCGAGCGUUAAUCGGAAUUACUGGGCGUAAAGCGCGCGUAGGUGGCUUGAUAAGCCGGUUGUGAAAGCCCCGGGCUCAACCUGGGAACGGCAUCCGGAACUGUCAAGCUAGAGUGCAGGAGAGGAAGGUAGAAUUCCCGGUGUAGCGGUGAAAUGCGUAGAGAUCGGGAGGAAUACCAGUGGCGAGGGCGGCCUUCUGGACUGACACUGACACUGAGGUGCGAAAGCGUGGGUAGCAAACAGGAUUAGAUACCCCAGUAGUC